rnacentral:lncRNA from 1 species
CUGGGAAAAGGGAACCUAUGUGACUGGGACUUGGUGUGGGGAGGAGAGCUGGUGGGAGCACCAGCUUGUGGCAGUCCAUAAGAGAGCCUGGGGUUCAGGUUUGGAACUAGUGGCCUUGAAGUAGCUCCCCAGGGGCCUCAGGUCUUAGCUCCAGACACAAGCCCAGUUUUCUGCUGUUGGUAAGAGCAGCCCUACAUGUGGUCUGAGAGCCUGUGUGUUUGGCAUGUCCCUGACUGGCGGUCAGGACGGUGGACCACUUGGCAGGGGCCAAGAGGAGACUGAGGGCAUAUAGUCUUAAGUUACCGGAUGACCUCAUGUAUUCCAAGAGGCAGUUGCAUGGACAGUCAAGUCCCCCAGGUGGGUCUCAGGAUCUAGAGUUGCAUAGGAUACAAGGAUCUGGGCACAUCUGUGAAGACAUUUUUGGAUUGGGCUGAGGUAGGAAGACUCAUCCUGAAUGUGGCGGCACCAUCCCCUAGGCUGGAGUCUUGGACCGAAUCAAAAGGAGAAAGUAAGCUGUGUACCAGCACUCACCUUUACUAUUUCCUAACUGCAGAUGCAGAGUUCCUCCAGCUCCUGUUACCGAGCCUUACCUACAAUGGUAGGUUGACUCAAGUUAUGAACUCAGAUAAUCCCUUCCUUCUGCGAGUUGCUUUUGUCAGGUAUUACAGCAGUAAGAGAAGUAAUUUGUAUGAAAACUAGUUCACCUUUCUUGAUAAAAGAAAUCCCCAAAC